rnacentral:lncRNA from 1 species
CCAGGCUGGAGUGCAACAGCACAAUAUCAGCUCACUGUAGCCUCUGCCUGCCAGGUUCAACCAAUUAUCCUGCCUCAGCCUCCUGAGUAGCUGGGACUACAGGCUCCCACCACCACGCCCAGCUAAUUUUUGUAUUGUAGUAGAGAUAGGGUUUCACUAUGCUGGCCAGGCUGGUCUCAAACUCCUGACCUAUAGAGAUCUGCCUGCCUGGGCCUCCCAAAGUGCUAGGAUUACAGGCGUGAGCCGCUGCGUCUGGCCGACCCUCUCAGAUUUCCGACUCAGAAAUGUAAACAGUGGAAAGAAGGCGAGAGAGCAGGCUAGUAGUCUCCAGAGAGAUCUAAUUGGCGGAUAACAGAACUAUAAGGGUUAUUCUUCUGCCUCCAGAUUACCUGGACAUCCAAGCAGGGCUAGCAGCUCAGAAUUGCCCCCAAGCACUUCAGUCUUAAUCUUCUCAUAUGAAAAAUAAAGGAAUUUUGAUUAGUGAAUGGUUAUCAACCAUGACUAUUCAUUAGCAUCACAAGGAGGCUUUGCAAACAUCAGUGCCUGAGCCCCACCUCUAGAGAUGCUAUUGAAUUAGUCAGGCCUAACCACUAGUCCUUUUCAAACUCCCCAGAUGGUUCUACUCUACUGCCAGGCUUGAGAACCUCUGUGAUGGGUGAUGUCUCAGAUUCCCUCGCUGACACACUAUGAUCCUGAGAGAUAAUAGUUAACUGCUUUUUGACUUGGCUUCUCUGGACAGAACCCAAUUCAAACAUUCCCAUUAAAAUGACCAAAAGUGUAAAGAAAGGUAAAGGGUCUUUAAUUAAGUCUCUGGCCCCCUGGAAGAAGGAAGCUGGGGAAAAGACAGCCAUGAGGGCAAGGUUAAUGGUACAUUUUUAAGUAAAAACGGCUCCAGAGACUCACAGCCACAGUGGCAGCUAAAAAGUCAAAAUUAAGUUUCUCUAUGUGCUCUGGCCCAGCCUAGGGGCAUGGCCUUGUAGCCCUGAUCACUAUGCAGUUAUUCAGCCGCCCUCCCAGGCGGGUGCAGGCCCUUGGGUAAUCAGCCGACAAUCUCAAGUUGACCUCCUGGGAGGCCACCAAAGCCAAUUAAACUAGAGGUCACCUGGGUUCGGCAAGAAUGGUGGCCAGCCUAGGCUUCACUGAGCAGCAAGUGAACAGUAGGCUGCAGUGAGUACAGUAGGUGUUAGAGCCUCAGCAAGCUGAUCACAUGCUGAGCACAGUAAAAGCCUGAAAGGCCCAUGGAAGAUUGGGCAACAGUGGAUUGCAGGACCAAAGUCUCAGGGCAGAAGUUUAUCUAGUACCUCACAGUAGAUAUUCCUAAUCCAGCUGCCCAGUGCAUUACACAGGGCAGGCUCUUUUCCAGGGCAUAAAGGUGUUUUUUCUGUUGUUUUUUGUUUUUAAUUCCCCUCCUGUUUUCUUUAGUUUUGCUUUUGUUUUUUUAUUUCUCUCUAGACUUUCCAUGUACACUAUGAAUGCCAAGUGCUGUGAAUACCAACCCAUGCUUUCAAAGAGCCUGCUGCCUCAGAGCAUGUGAUGUGGAACUUUCUGGUGGCCUCGGCGUGGAGGUUCUCAACCUCAGCUGCACACUGUGUUUAGUUGGUCUGGAGCGAGAUCUAGGCAUCAGUAUAUUUUUUAAGCUCCCCAUGUGAUUGUAAUAUGCAGCCAAGAAUAAAAAAAAAAAACACUGGGCUAGGUCAUUCCUGGCCGAGGUGAGGAGGUGGUGAGAUGGAUUGGAAGGGGACCAUGGCAAGGAUUCUUAGGGGUGUCAAGGAGGAGAUGAAAGGAGGACUCAGACAAGGGGAUCUGGCAAGUUUUCAGAAAUCACCUGCUGAUGCCUUUUAAAGCUAAUGCCAUUAUUGAAUCUUAGUCAUCCAUUCAUCCUCUACUCACCAGUGACUAAUAUUGAUGUGUUUUAGACAUAUAAAGAUGAAUUAAGACCCAGUCCCUGCCCUUAGGCGGCACACAGUAGGAGAGACAGACUCAUGAACACAUGGUGGUGUAAUCAAAGUUAGUCAUGGACUGUAUAUGUACUCAAUUCUGGGGCCCACAGGGCACCCCAUUCUGUGGGUAAGGGGCAAGCUCACCCCAAUGUCAGGCAUACUAGGAAGAGGCUAAAGCUAAAAUAUCCAAUGAGAGCCUGCAAGGAGGGCCUUGGACAGGGGAAAGACAAGAACUUCUUGGGCUUUCUGGGCUUCCUCUCCAGAGCCUGUGUCCUGAGAAGUCUGUGAAGUAGGUACACUCAAGGUUACUCUACUGGACAACUCCGGGGGUGUCAUUCAUUUGUAUUUUAUGAAAACACUGCCCACUAGAGUUGUGCACCUAGAUGGCAUUGCGAGUGUGGUAAGAGAAGCUGACUCUGACCAGAGGGCUCCGGAAGGUGCCUCUGCCGUUUGAUAAGGAAGCUCCUAUGAGAAACACGGGAACAGAUCUAUGCCUGUGGGCUCUGAGAACAGCCACAUCCAGAAGCCAGGCAGAAGAUCCUCUAUUUUUCUUUCCGGUUUUCCCAGAGCCUUCAGUGAAGUAGAAUUAAGAACAAGUCUGUGGCCACCCUUUGGGCUGGCAUGGUUCCAGACACUGGCAUCCUCUAGGGCCAGGGUAGUUGUGGCAUCCCCAGAACUGCAGAGAGGCUCACCACAGCAUGGGCAGGGCUAUGGUUUGCACGUGUCUCCCAAAAUUUCAUGUGUUAAAAACUUAAUCCUCAAUGCAACAGUGUUGGGAGGUGGGACCUAGUAAGAGGUGACUGGGUCAGGAGAGCAAAGCCCUCAUGAAUGGAUUAACAUCAUUAUUAAAAGAGUGGGUUGUUACAAAGCAAGUCUGGCUCCUGGUGCCUGUUGGUCUUCAGUGCUCACUUCUGCCUUCACCCUUCCACCAUGGGAUGACCCUCACCUAUUGUCAGUGGCAUGCUCUUGGAUUGCCCAGCCUCCAGAACUAUAAACUGAAUAAAUCUCUUUUCUUUUAAGUUAUACUGUGGUUUUCUGCUGAAGCAGCAGCACAGUGAACUAAGACAGGCAGUGACCCAGAGGGAUGAGGUCCCAUGACUGAGACCUCACCCAAUCACCCACAGAAAUAUACUAGAUGGAAGGGAGGCUAGAAAGGGGAGUUGAGGUCCUGCCACCAUGCUGGUGGGGAUGUGUAGCCCAUGGGCUUGGGUUUAAUUUUUUUUUUUUUUUUUUUUUUUGAGAUGGAGUCUCACUCUGUCACCUAGGCUGGAGUGCAGUGGAAUGAUCUCGGCUCACUGCAACCUCUGCCUCCCAGGUUCAACCGAUUCUCCUGCCUCAGCCUCCUGAGUUGCUGGGAUUACAGGCGUCCGCCACCACACCUGACUAAUUUUUGUAUUUUUAGUAGAGACGGUGUUUCACCAUGUUGGCCAGGCUGGUCUGGAACUCCUGACCUCAGGUAAUCUGCCCACCUUGGCCUCCCAAAGUGCUGGGAUUAUAGGCGUGAGCCAUCACACCUGGCCACCGUUGCCAAUUCUUGAUGACGUCCAGAAUUUUUUCUUGCUACCUGUGCCACAUCCUGCUUUUGGAAGAAAGGAGGAGAGCGGUGGGCUUCUGUUGAAUCACUCACCACCCACGUUUCCCCAUAGCUGACAGGGAAGGAGUUGGCCAUGGCCUCUAUUGCAUUAUCCAUUGUUCAUUCCCAUAAAAACAAAGGGAUAUCUUUCAAUAUCUAGGCAAUGCAAAAACCUUGCCUUCCAAAUAAGGUCUAACCUCUCUGAUUCAACUUAUCAAAUAGCUAGCUCUACAGCCAAGGGUAAAACAAAGAGACCUCAGCUUUGGGCUGCAGGAUUCAGCUUCCCAGAUGGGAGGUGAGAGCUUGCUGGGCAAGUUCCUCCUCCAUCUCCCACUAGUUCACUUUGACCUUCCUUUGAUGGUCAAACCCAUUUCUCCCAACCACCAGCAUGAUUCUGAUCACUGUUUGGGUCAACCUGCUGACUCCUUCUCCACUUGGUCCCCUGCAAGAAAGCAGUGUGAAGCCUCUGGGCUUGUUGAUUCAAUAAUCAUCUUUAUACUAUACUUACUUAGGAAAAAAAUGUCUUUGUGAGAAAAGACAGACAACAGACACCAUGCCUGAUACAGCGUCAGAAAGAAGCACUGUUUAUUCAACUGACUUGAUUAGUGAGUGCCAGACAGCUAUUAGAACAAAAAUCAUGUUUUGGGGCAACAAAAUCAUGCUUUGGGUCUAUUUGUGUCAUGGCAAGCCUCCACAGAGUACCCAGAUAAUGCUUGUUAUCGUCACCCAUAUUAGCCAAAUGUUUGGAUAAAUAAAGAUGUUGUAUGAAAUUCCCUAUCUGUUGCUUUAACAUAAAUUCACAUGGAGUGGUACACUGGUGAGUCAUGUUCCAUUUCAUGGCUAUAUGGUUUCCAUGGCCAAAAAAAUGAGAAGAGGGCUUCCUUGGGCUGGGAAUCUGUGUAAGAAUGUGCUUGCUUAAUCUGCUGCCCUCCUGUUUGCCUCCUCUGUGUACAUACACCAGGUCCACCCCCAAGCCUAUGGUUCAUUGCACAUUAGGUGACCUAAUCCUUGAGUGGUUGCUGGAAUUGUCCACCUGGGGCUAGUGUUUACUCUAAAUAGACCCACUACACACACAGGUCAGAAGCCAACACAAGUGAGCCUUGGGCAUGCCCAUCCCGUUGACAGCCGCUUUCUUAGAUCAUCUACCUUUGUUUCCACUAGGCUCUGACUCCUUGCUCCAUUUUGGUGUCUAGCUGGCUUGAAACCCUUUGGGCUUUGUGUCUUGUUCCCAGGCCCUGGUUGAGUAUGAUCUAAUUCUGUGUCCUUGCAUUUGACUGUCAGCAGUGGGCUGGUACCAGCCCUGAAGCUCCCUUGUAACCAUACCCCAGCCUAUCAGCAUCAGUGAGGCCCCUCCAACUCUCCUACUGGACAAGUUCUGGUUUCCCUCAUGGACGAGGGUUGAACAAAAAUGAAAGAUAAGUCAGUUGUUAUGACUAGAAAAAGUGAUUACCAGGCCCUCCCUAGAAUCCCACCUCUUUCAGAGAUAUCCAAGUACAACACAGAGAACCAGAAGUGGCCAAUUCAUUUUGCCAAUCAGGCUACAUAGACUCAUGAGUCACCUAAGAUAGACACACCUUUUGAAAAACAGCUGCAAACAGACCUGGAACAAACACUUUCUUUUGCUGAGAGCAAAUAAAAAGAUUACGUUAGAUGGAUCUAGAAACAUUUCUUUUAUUUUUUUGAGAUGGAGUCUAGCUCUGUCACCCGGGCUGGAGUGCAGUGGCAUGAUCUCAGCUCACUGCAACCUCCACCUCCCAGGUUCAAGCGAUUCUCCCCCUUCAGACUUCCGAGUAGCUGGGAUUACAGGUGCCCACCACCACACCCAGCUAAUUUUUGUAUUUUUUUUAGUAGAGACAGGGUUAUACCAUUUUGGUCAGGCUGGUCUCGAACUCUGACCUCAGGUGAUCCGCCUGCCUCAGCCUCCCAAAGUGCUGAGAUUACAGGCUGAGUCAUCACUGACAAUACUAGGAACAUUUCUAAGAUUCAAGGAAGAAUCAAAUAAUCCAGUUCUUAAAAAGGCUUGGAUGCAGCUGAAAUUCACAAACAGCUAAAACCAGGAGCUACAUCUCUGCCAGUCUCUGCUUCUUCCUACAGGAGGUCAAGUUCCUACUCAUCUCUAAAGUCCAGCUUUCUCUUCACAGUUGAAAACCUGGCCACCAACAACUCCUGGCUAUUUCUUUUUUUUUCUUUUUUUUCUUUUCUUUUCUUUUUUUUUUUUUUUUUUUUUUUGAGACGGAGUCUCGCUCUGUUGCCCAGGCUAGAGUGCAGUGGCACAAUCUUGGCUCACUGCAACCUCCACCUCCCACCUUAAAGCGAUUCUCCUCCCUCAGCCUCCUGAGUAGCUGGGACUACAGGUGCCUGCCACCACGCCCAGCUAAUUUUUGUAUUUUUAGUAAAGACAGGGUUUCACCAUGUUGGCCAGGCUGGUCUCGAUCUCCUGACCUCAUGAUCCACUCACCUCGGUUUCCCAAAGUUCUGAGAUUACAGGCGUAAGCCACCAUGCCCAGCCUAGCUUCUGGCUAUUUCAUCUUGCAGGUUCAUCCACCGGAGAGAGGACCUCCACCCCCGCUCUCCUCUAGUCAGCCAUCCUAAACCCUCAGAAGGAGCCAUUGGUCCACCUUGUAAUACGACUGCUUCUACUGCAGUCCCUUGAUGGGGGCGAAGGUGCAGCACGACAUGACAGUCCCAAAGGAAGGGAACUGCUGCAAAGGGCCAGAAUAGGUGAGAUUUAUCACCUCAUCUUGGUUCUCAGUUCCACCAAUCCCAGCCCCAUCCAGCAAAACAAGAAUUCCCCUGUUGUGUUCAAGCUAUGUCCAAAGAUGAAGGCUACAGUCUGUUUUCCACAAACCACUUUUGGAAUCCUUACCAAGUAUUGGCUUGCAAUACAAAGGAUCCCUUCUCUAUUACUAUGUAACUAAAAAAAAAAAAAAAUUGAGCUGCCCCAUCUGAAAAGUCCCUGUGUCUUAGAAAAAGGCUUUGUUCUGUAUUCUGGAUGAGGCCAAUCCUCAACAAAAGGCAAUAUAACAGAGAGGUUAACUUCACAGCUUCUGGAGUUAAUUUAGGGAUCAGUUCAAAUCCCUGCUCCAACAGUUAUAGGUGUAUGACACACAGCCUCGGCUUUACUCUCUAUAAAUGAAGAUAACUGAUAGUCACUUCCUGGUGUUGGUAUGAGGAUAAUUUGGGGCAAGGCAUGAAGAGCACUUAGCAUGGCACCCGGGACACAAAAGACCUUUAAUGACACUGGAUAGACUUGGUCUUCAGUGAUGUCCUCUGCCUUUUUCUGCCAUCUUCCCCCUCCUGCCAUUCCCCAGGGAAUCCAAGGCUCUGCCUCCAGGAACAGAUGUUUCCCACCUGUUCCUCUUCCAUAUGACUUUGCAAUGGAUCUUCAUGAAACAUACACUCCCACCCCAAUCUAAGACCCUUCAUGUCUUGUUAAAACAGUGAAGAUAAAGUUAAACUUCCCUAGAGUGGGCCCCAAGGCUACUUUCAAUUUGGACCCUGCCUGCCUCUCCUACCUUGCAGUGUCUCCUUAAAAAAAUCUCACCAUGCUAGAUCACUUGCUAUUUCUCAGAUAUGUCAUGCUCUUUUACCACAAUGCAUGACUGCAAACACUGUCCCCUCUUCCUGGAAAGCCCCUUCCCUGGCUAGCUCCAACUAGCCUAACCAGUUUUCAUGAUGUUUGUGAUCAGGGGAUUCCCAGAAACUUUUGCUGACCCCAACCCCCAUUUCGAGUUAGACAAGCUUCCUCUGGCUCCAUUCAUGCCCACGUUUCCCUCUAUCAGAGUCCUUAUUACACUGUAUUUGCUUGUAUGUCUUUGUUAUUAAAUUCUGCUCUUCUUGAGAACAAGACUACAUUUCCAGCAUGAAGCACAGAGCCUGGCAUAAAGGUAAUGUUCAAUAAAGUGUGAUUGUCUGAAACACCAAUGAGUAUAUUUAGGAAGCCAUGUGUCCUGGUAAGAAUGAAGAUGAAAUGUACAGUCCUUUUCCUCUUGUAGCUAAGUGAGUCACUGGGUACAAAACCCAUGACCUUGCCCACAACACUCCAACUGGCACUUUCAGCUGCUUCAUGGGAAACAGAAUUCAACACUGCAUGUAAAAUACUGGAUUUUAAAUCCAGAAGCCUACCUGCAAAGUCCCUCUUUCUUGUGAUCUUGGUCAAAAUGCUUAGCCUUGUUUGUCUUGCCUAUGAACAAUUUUUUUUAAUACUUGGCUAUAGAAAAUAAAUACAAUUAUGCCUAUAAAAUUAAAAAGUAUCUUUGAUGUUUUUUUCCUACAUGGCAUUGUCAUGGCUGCUAUUGAAAAGAUGACAAUUAUCCCAACCUCUAAGCCAAAGUUAGUCCUUGUUCCUGAAUACCAUCAAGUCAUUGUCUGUUACAAGGAAACACUAGACAUAUUUUGUGCUUUUCUGGUGUCUGAGUAUUGCAUCUCAAGUGGAGGCCUGGGUCUUUUGUAUAUGUCUUGUAUCUCUCAUGACUUUUUAUAGUAUUCACUAGAGCCCGACUGUGGCCCAGAGCUGUCCUCAGAGGCUAUGCUGUGGGACAAGGCCACAAGCAAAACUAUAAUGAGCUCUUCCUGGUGUUGCCAGAAAAAAGAACUCUUGGAUAAGGUCAACGAAUCUGUCCUUACAAAGAUCUCUGUGUUUUCACAGGUCAGCCUCUAGUGAGGUAAGUAAUAAAAAGGAAAAGCUGAAAAUAACUGCAAGAACAAGGGUUGCAUUAUUCAUCUGUAAGGAUUACAUAUUGGGUUUUAAGGAUGCAUAUAUUAAACAUUGCUAAGCUUCAUCCUGUCUAUAAUUAUUAACACGUUGCUGAGGGACUCAUGGUAAUUAUCAUCUGGGAAUCCCACUCAGAUACUGCACAACUCUAAAAAGGUGGACUAAUUCCUAAGGGACGUGUUCUACAAUAGUAAUGAUGAUGAUGCUUCUAGGACACUGCAAUCUCUCCCUCAUAAGUGAGCACCUCGGAUUUAACUGUCCAGCAUCAUUUGGAGCACAGGGCGGAGGAUUAUACCGAGGAACCACACCCAUGUCAUUUGAAUUGUCCACAAGACCACUAUAAGGACUUUCCAGGACCAUCACAAGGCUGCAAACCGCAUUUGAAGUGCUGCUUCUGGGGCAUUCUUUCCAAAGAGCCUUUUAGCAGGGCAGGGAGUGAAAGGUGAGGACAAGCCUAGGAAAUACAUAAUCCAAGGCUAGGGAGAUAGAAGCUUAAUAUUUACUGCCGUGCCUGGGAAAAGUGAGGCUUGUCGUUGUCAUCUGGGCAAUUCUCCCUCGGACUAGCUCCUCUCUGUGGCCUCCUGGGGUAACUAAUGUCUUCCAGCAGCACUUCUUGCUCCAGGAAUCUGGAAUCUUAGCUGAGUGCUAUGAAGACGGUUCUGAUUAAUUGAUACACUUAAGGUAUGCACUAUCGGUUGCUAUCCUAAUCCUCCCAGGAGAUUACCUUUUCAAAGCGCUGGAAGAUUAACGAGAAUUUCAGAUGCCGUAGCAAUUUGAAGGGAAAAAAUUGUGGCCUCCACAGUGCCAGCUUGCCUGCCAUGAGGGAGACAUAUUUGAGAGUCCUUCAGCUCCCUGUGGGCUGUACAUCCAAGCAAGAAAGUCCAGAUCUUGCAUCUGAGUUGGCAACUGAAGGAAGAGACCUUGAAUCAGCACAGCAGUCAGAAUUCUGCUUGAGGGCAGCUUUGCUGAAACUAAAAGGAACAACUUUAUCUAGAACAGUCUCUCUGCACAUUCGCUUUCCCCUGUGGCAGUUGCGAUGUUAGAUUAAGUCUAUGUAUAUGUAGGGCAGAAGCGAAGUGCAGGAGGGGGUGGAGAGAAUGAUGGGAAAGAAAAGGCUCCUUCUAAACACACAUGUAUGUCAGCAUUACCAGGUGCUCUGCUGAAACCGGUAGGAUGAACACCUUCCGAACAGGCUGCAUUCCUCCCGAGGAAACUGAAGAGUGUAACCUCACAGUGAAAUUCCCCCCAAGUCUUUGGCUCUGCAGGAAGCUUCUGGCUAUUUUUCAGGAGAUGCGUUUGCUGCAGGAGGAGUUGGUACCAGUCUUCAGUUCUCAGCCUGUAGGCCCCUGACAUGGGGCACUACUCUGUACAGUUCCAGAAACCAACAACAGCCAUUUAGCAGGAGUGUUGAAACUGCAGAUUGUUCUCCACUGUUCUUCACUGUGGCUGUGUUUGGAACUACCAAAUACUAAUCCUCAGAACUUGGUCUUGGACCUGGUUAUAAAUCUCAUUCCUGCAACUCUGAACAGUGUGAUCUUGGGAGAGUUACUUAAUUUUUCUGAGUCUCAGUUUUUCUUAUCUAUAAAAUGAAGUUAGUAAUAGUAUGGACUUCAUAUAACGUAUGUGAUGAUUAAAUUACAGAGCACAUGUAAUGUGUGUAGCACAAUGCGUGGUACAUAACUAGGCCUCAACAAAUGGCCCAACAAUGUGUUGUUGGUCUAGGGUGGGAGACAGUAAUCUCCCUUUGACUGUCAUUAUCUUUUGACUGGGAAGAUUGGGUAGGCAACAAUGUUGCCUGUUUGCUGUACUUAGCUCUACUUUACUUUUUAUUUUUUUAUUUUUUUGAGACAGAGUCUCACUCUGUCACCCAGACUGGAGUGCAAUGGCACAAUCUUGGCUCACCACACCCUCCAUCUCCCAGAUUCAAGCAAUUCUCCUGCUUCAGCCUCUCAAGUUGCUGGGAUUACAGGCAUGUGCCACCAUGCCCAGCUAAUUUUUUGUAUUUUUAGUAGAGACAGCGUUUCACCAUGUUAGCCAAGCUGGUCUCAAACUCCUGACUUCAGGUGAUCCACCCACCUCAGCCUCCCAAAGUGCUGGGAUUACAGCUGUGAGCCACCGCACCCAGCCGUCUACUUCAUUCUUGCUUGGUUGUUUGCUUCCUGCUCUCACCAAAUUGUAAAGCUCACUGAGGACAUGAACUAAGAUUCUGUGGCCAACAGGGUCUUUCUAUAUAGUAGAUAGUCAAUAAAUAUUUGUAGAUGGAUGCAUGGAUAUUUUUUCAACUGACUAUUUGAAUAUGACUUCUGAUACAUAUGAGUAUCAGUACCCAGGGAAUACAUGAUCCAAGGCUGGGGAGACAUGGGCUUAAUAUUUACUAACAUUUUCCCUUACCUGCCACCUGCUUCUCUUGAGACAUUAAAUCCAAAGGCUAUAAAUCCUGCUGCUUUGCAUGGCUGGGUUAGAUUGCAUAUGAGAAUUUUGCAAAGCAAAAAAGAUACAUCACACCAACUGGCCUCUCAAUGUAUGCUCCCCUCAAAAGGCUUUCAAGCCAAAAAUCCCUAAGCAGUAAUUAUGUGCAAGGCAAAG